AUGACGGCCGAGGGGACGGCGCGCGGCGGCGCCGGCGAGGCGCCGAAGGCGGAAUUGGCGGCGGCCAAGGCGGUCUCCCCGACGGGGGAGGAGCGCGAGGGGGUGGGCGGCCCCUUCGUGAUCGUCAACGGCGACUCCGACGGCCACUCGGACCCCGGCUCGGACACGGGCGCCGGGGCCGAGUCGGAUUCCCGCCCGGAGGAGGAGGAUCUGCCCCGGGCCAAUGCAGCCCCGGCUGCUGACGCGGGCGGAGAUUACCCCACCGCCGGUGGGGAAUUGGCCGCUCCGGACGGCGCCGUCGGCCUCCCAUCUUCCAACGGGCAUGCUAGCCCCGCUCCGGCGGAGUCUGAGGUUGAUGGUGUGGGCGAAGUAGAAGGUGAGGGAAGCCACAAUUCUGAAGCUGGACCGGGGGACCAGGGCACUGCUGCCGCUGGAGAGCUUGAUGGUCAAGAUGCAGCAACAGAACUUAAGAUUGACCAUGCUGACGCUGCUGAUGAUUCUGCUCCACAUGCCGUGGAAUCUGUGCUUAAUGUCAACGAUGGAGAAAGUGAAAAAAGUGCUGCCACUGAGGUUGUUGCUCCUGAAGAACAGCAGGAUGGAGAGAAGAAUGCUCCAGCAGAGUCCAGUGGUUCAGAUAAGCCCCCCACACAGGCUGAGUCUGGUUCCAUUGUCUUGGAGUCUGAGGGCAGUGGCGAGCAGAGCAAAGGAGAAGAGAUUGCUGCUGAGAUCAUGGAGUCAGGUACAGAUGGAUCAGGUGUCUCGGGGGUGACUGGACAGCAUGAUGCUGACACAAGUGUGACUGCUACUGAUCCUGUGAUUAACGUCGAUGAGGGCAAACAUGAGCAUGCUGCAGUCACAGAGCUGGUGGAGCAGGAUGGGAGCAACGGGCAUGACCAUGUUGAGCAGAUUGCUGAUUCUGGCACAUCUGCUCCUGAGAUAGAAGCUGAUGGGAGCAAAGGGCAGCAAAUAGAAGCACUGACUACUGAGCCUGAAGUAUUGGAUGGAGGCGAUUGUGAAGCGACUUCUAAGGGACCUUCAGAAGAGGAAGUUGUUGCAAACGGGCCUGGCUGUGCCAAGGACACUUCUCAGCCUGAAGUAUUGGAUGGAGGCGAUUGUGAAGCGACUUCUAAGGGACCUUCAGAAGAGGAAGUUGUUGCAAACGGGCUUGGCUGUGCCAAGGACACUGCUGACACUUCUUUGGAGCUUGAGGGAGAGAGCGAAGUUGCCUCUGUUGUGGUUGAAGUGGAGGGCGUAGUAGUAAAGGAUGGUGAGGGGGAUUUGCAUGAUGGUCAUACGGUUGUUGUCCCCUCAUCUGACGAGGAAGCAAAACCUCCCGCAAAGGAGGGUACAAAUGAGGCCAUUCCUGCUGAAGUUGUGAAGGAGGGAAUAAGUGAACAAAUUGUGCAAGAUAAUGAAUCCGUUAAGGUUGAUGUCUCUUCUGUCACACAUCAGUCAGUAAAUUCAGAAGCUCCAGUUGUUGAACCUAAGGGGGAUCACAUACUCCAGGUAGAAGAUGCUGCAGGUGAUGGAAACACUGCAGUUUCUGAUGUGAAGGUUGUCAUGUUGGAAAUGAACGCAGCAGAUAGCGUGCAAACACCGGAUCUCAAGUCGGCAUCUGAAGACAGGAGUGUACCAUUGCAUGCGAAUUCGUCCGACCAAGUUGAGGAGGAGGUAAACAAAGAAGUUUCCCCUGAGGACGCACAUUUAGCCCAGAAUGAAUAUUCUUCUGUACAGACUGGAAAACAUGAGCAGUUGGAAUUACCUGGCACUGGUGCAGCUGCAGCUGAUAAAAGUGACAAUGCUGUGGUAGAGGCAGAACCAGGUAAAGAGAUGGAGGUUGUUGAAGACGUUGCGUUGCAUGCGGCUGCAGCAUCUACUUUCCAUAAUGAGCCAAGGUCCAUUGAUUUCAUUGAUAACAAUUACGUAAAACCGGAUACUGAGUUGGAAAGUUGUGAUCAUGUACAAGCAGAGGAGUGUAAUUCUGAUGAAAUAUCUAGCACCGCUGUCGAUGAAGUUAUAUCUGGUGUUUCCACGGAACAUGGAACUGCUGUGACAGAUGACGCUGAACUCAGAUAUGAUACAGGAGGUGCAUCUCUUAGCGAAACUGCUGUUGAUCAAGGUGAAGCUGUUGCAUUGACUGAUAAUAAAGCUUCUGUUGUAGAUGAAGUUAAACCCUCUUCUGCCCCAGGAAGUGAAUCUGAUGUGGCUCCUGAAGCUGGUGAUGUUUCGCAAAUAGGCGAAUCACGUGAUUUGGUUACAGAUUGCCAAUCUAAUAAUGACCAGCCGGACAUUCUUGACACAUCAACUACGCGUGAAGAGCUAGUUUCUCUGACUGAAUAUCCUUGCCUGCCAGUUGUUACAUUGGAAUCUGGAGUUAAGGCUCCUCAUACGGACAAGGCAACCGCCACGUCAGAUGAGACAUCCAAAGAUACUGAAAAUAUAAAUGCAUGCAAUAUAUCUUCUACUGAGGUUGAAACCAAAUCUUUGGAAGUAGUGGAACCUUCAUCUGUUGACGGGGUAGUUCCAGUGGAACAUGAGAAUGAUGAUGAACAUGAACACAAAGGCAAGGAGAAGAUUGCUGAGGACUCCAGUGAGUCGCCUGUUGAACAGCCUGUUGAUCUUGAGAGUGACAAGGGAAAUAUACAACUCAUGAGGCCACACAAGUUCUUCAUCGUAAAGGUUCCUAAACUUGCGGGCGAUGAUGUCUGGGCAAAGGUACAAGAUGCUCAAGUUCAUCUGGAUCGCCUGACUCAGGAAAGAGAUGCAAUUAAUGCUCGCAAGAAAAAGCAAAAGGCUGCCUUUGAUGAGUAUCGGGAAAAGUUAGAGGCAGCACGGAAAGAAGAGACUGAAGCGAGAGCUGCACAUGCUGGCAAGAGGAAUGUUCUUGAUGGUGUACGGUCAACUAUUGGGAAGUUGAAUCAAGCAACUUCAGUUGAAGAAAUUGAUGAGUUGAUCGUGAGGAAACAGAGGACUAUGGAACAUGAAACAAUUUCUUUGAAAGAAGAGAAGCUAUUCAUUAAAGAGAUUAAUGAUCUGAAAGCCCAAAGGAAGCAAGCGUGCUCCAAUAUGGGCUCAGAGGCUGAAAUGAGUGAAGCAUUCCAUCAAAAGGAUCACAUUCAUGAGCAACAUAAGACUUUGAAGAAGGAAGCAGAUUUACUUUUCAAAAAUCUGAAGUCCCUUGAGGAGAACAGAAAAAAGAUUCAAAAGUCUUUCGAGGAUGAAAGAGCUGCUCUCAGAAAGUUAAAUGAUGACUUGUAUGCUGCCAAUGAACUACGUCAACAGGCCUAUGAGAAGUGGGUUGAGCUGAGAGGGGAACCGGGCAAGAAGAACAAGUACUUCUUCAUGUACAAGAAGGACCGCGAUGCUGUGGGCAAGCUCUUAUCAAGUGGUGACAUUGAUGGACUUCAGUCAUAUUGUAAUAAUCAGGUUGAGGGUUUUAUGGAGAUGUGGAACAAAGAUGAUGACUUCCGCAGGCUGUAUGUUGAAGCAAACCAGAUUAGCACUCUGAGGAGAUUAGCUACCCAUGAUGGAAGAUCACUUGGUCCUGAUGAGGAGCCUCCCGUCAUUCCCAGUAACAAUUACAGUAGAAGACCCAACAAUCCAUCUCAACUCACUGUUUCAAGCCCAAACGUUCCCAUUACAACUAAAGAAGCAGCACCUGAAAAGUCUACUGCAGUUGUUGUCCCUGUAGAAGAGGAUUCCUUUCCUGUUUUACCACCAACCCAGACCCAUAAGCAGGCCAAACCAAAGGCAGCUGGUAGUGGUUCAUCCCAGAAAGAAAUAACCCCAGCUCCAGCUCCAGCUCCAGAAGUGGUAGAUGUAAAACAGAUUGAAAAGGAAAAGGCUCGUCUGGCGGAGGAGAUGGAGUUAGCAAGGAAGGCGGAGGAGUUGGCACGCAAGGAGGAGGAAUUAAGAGAGCAGAGGGCUGCAGCUGAAAAGGAACAACUCCGCUUGGAGCAAAUAGCCAAAGCUAAGGAAGCUGAGGAAAGAAAGAAAAAGAAGGCAGAGAAGGCUCAGGAAAGGGCGGAGUUCAAAGCGCGCAAGGAAGCUGAGAUGAAGGAAAAGAAGAAAGCAAAGAAGUCUAAAAAGGUUGGCACCGCACCAGCAGACUUAGCAAGUGUCCAGAGCAACCCUGCACCUAUAGCUACAACAGACGCUGAAAGCAACACACCUGACAAUACUAGGGAUGUUGAUGUUCCUCAACAACCCCCAAGGAGGCCCGGUAAACCAGCAGUGAGGCAGCUGCAGCCCAUGCCCGCACCCCUGCGUAACAAGUUCAAAAGGAGAACGCGGCAGUACAUCUUCAUCGGAGUCGCAGUUGCCCUAGCUGUCGUCGCGUUGAUCCUGGCCGGCAGAACCUUAGACCUCCCUGGUUUAAGUUCUCUUCGCUUCUGA
rnacentral:rRNA from 1 species